AUUCCAGCUCCAAUAGCGUAUAUUAAAGUUGUUGCAGUUAAAAAGCUCGUAGUUGGAUUUCUGGCGUCGCCGCCCGGUUGGCCUCGAAAGGGGUAUGUACUGGGGCGCGCGUUGCCAUCCUCGGGGGAAGGUCGUCUGGCAUUAAGUUGUCGGACGGUCGACGCUCGUCGUUUACUGUGAACAAAUUAGAGUGUUCAAAGCAGGCUUAGGCCGUUGAAUACAUUAGCAUGGAAUAAUGAGAUAGGACUUUGGUGGUCUAUUUUGUUGGUUUGCACGCCGAAGUAAUGAUUAAUAGGGGCGGUUGGGGGUAUUCGUAUUCAAUUGUCAGAGGUGAAAUUCUUGGAUUUAUGGAAGACGAACUACUGCGAAAGCAUUUACCAAGGAUGUUUUCAUUA
rnacentral:rRNA from 1 species